rnacentral:misc_RNA from 1 species
AAGGAGUUUUUAUUAUCACACUGACUGCUUCCACAGUUGUGGGUGGUUGGUGUGGCUGUGAUUUUUGUUCAUGCACCUUAUGUGGUGUGUGGGUUGCAGCUGAUUAUUUUUUGUUUUUUUGGGUGUGCAUCCUUCUUUACACUUAGUUGGGUUUGUAUCAAAGGUUUGUUUGUGUGUUGGCGCGUUGUUGGGUGUCUCGGGCAGCACUGUGUGUUGUUCGUUGACCAUCAUUGACUGUGAGUGAGCAUGUUGUUGUUUGCUUGUGGUUGUGGUUGGUGUGGUGUGUGAGAACUGUAUAGUGGACGCGAGCAUCUGUACGCAUGAUGCGCAAUGUUUGUGUGUUGUGUGUGCUGUGAUUUUUUCUUUAUGUGUUUAUUUUGUUGUGUGUU